GGUUGCGAUCAUACCAUCACUAAUGCACCGGAUCCCAUCAGAACUCCGCAUUGAAGCGUGCUUGGGCGAGAGUAGUACUAGAAUGGGUGACCCCCUGGGAAGUCCUCGUGUUACAACCCC
rnacentral:rRNA from 1 species